rnacentral:rRNA from 1 species
UUCCUACGGGACGCAGCAGUGGGGAAUAUUGCACAAUGGGGGGAACCCUGAUGCAGCGACGCCGCGUGAGUGAAGAAGUAUUUCGGUAUGUAAAGCUCUAUCAGCAGGGAAGAUAAUGACGGUACCUGACUAAGAAGCCCCGGCUAACUACGUGCCAGCAGCCGCGGUAAUACGUAGGGGGCAAGCGUUAUCCGGAUUUACUGGGUGUAAAGGGUGCGUAGACGGCAGCACAAGUCUGGAGUGAAAUCCCGGGGCUUAACCCCGGAACUGCUUUGGAAACUGUGCGGCUGGAGUGCAGGGGGGGG